AGGGAAACUUAUUCCUUGGCAUCUGCACAAAGGCCUCCCUGGGGCUUGGUGCUCCCCAUCCCCGCCACACACAUACAGCAUGGAUUUGAUUCUCCUGGGCCAGUGAGAAGAGCAACGCCAAGGGAGAACGUGUGCAGUGGGCUGAAUGAUGACCCUAAAAACCUGCGAACGUGACCUUAUUUGGAAACGGGGUCUUUGCAGAUGUAAUUAAAGAUUUUGAGAUGAAGUGGUCAUCCUGAUUAUCCAAGUGAGCCUGAAAUCCAAUGACACAUGUCCUGAUAAAGGACACACAGAGGAAAAGACAGAAACAUGGAUGAAAAGGCAAAGUGAAGACAGAGCAAAGCCGUCCAAGCCAAGGAAUGCUGAUGGCACUAGAAGCUGGAAGAGGCAAGAAAGGAGCCUCUCCUAGGGCCUUCAGAGGGAGCGUGGCCCUGCUGACACUGCCGACACCUGGAUUUCGACUUCUGGCCUCCAGAACUGAAGGACCAUGUAAGAACAUAGCAAGAAGGCAGCCAUCUGCAGACCAGGAAGAGAGACCCCACCACAACCCAACCAUACCAGCACCCUGAUCUUGGGUUUCCAUAACUAUGAAAAAAUAAACUUCUGUUGUUUAAGCUAUUCUGUCUGUGUUAUUUUGUGAUGGCAGCCUGAACAGACUAAUACAGGGAUAUAUGAUCAAAAACAUUCGGAGACCACUGAGAAAUGGGUCAGUGUAGUUGGUUGUGGCAGUAACAGCUCCCACUUGUUCCUGGUUCCCUCGUUCCAUGCCCUUGGGUGGUCCCCUCCCACGGACUCUGGCCUUGUGACUUGCUUUGGACAAUGUAAAAAUAGCUAAUGUGUCACAAGCAGAGGAAAGUGCUUGUGAGUUGGUGUUUGCCUUCUUUCUUACCGUGGGACCUUCUGGCACCUACUGAACAAGACCAUUGUACCCUCCUUGUGUGUCCAGAAUUGGCGGGUUCUUGGUCUCACUGACUUCAAGAAUGAAGCCGCGGACCCUCACGGUGAGUGUUACAGCUCUUAAGGUGGCGCGUGUGGAGUCUCUCCCUUCUGAUAUUCAGAUGUGUUCGGAGUUUCUUCCUUCUGGUGGGUUUGUGGUCUCGCUGGCUCAGGAGUGAAGCUGCAGACCUUCACGGUGAGUAUUAUAGCUCUUAAGGCAACGCGUCUGUAGUUCGUUCCUUCCGG
rnacentral:lncRNA from 1 species